rnacentral:ncRNA from 1 species
GAACUGAAGAGUUUGAUCCUGGCUCAGAUUGAACGCUGGCGGCAUGCCUUACACAUGCAAGUCGAACGGCAGCAUGAUCUAGCUUGCUAGAUUGAUGGCGAGUGGCGAACGGGUGAGUAAUACAUCGGAACGUGCCCUGUAGUGGGGGAUAACUAGUCGAAAGAUUAGCUAAUACCGCAUACGACCUGAGGGUGAAAGUGGGGGACCGCAAGGCCUCAUGCUAUAGGAGCGGCCGAUGUCUGAUUAGCUAGUUGGUGGGGUAAAGGCCCACCAAGGCGACGAUCAGUAGCUGGUCUGAGAGGACGAUCAGCCACACUGGGACUGAGACACGGCCCAGACUCCUACGGGAGGCAGCAGUGGGGAAUUUUGGACAAUGGGGGCAACCCUGAUCCAGCAAUGCCGCGUGUGUGAAGAAGGCCUUCGGGUUGUAAAGCACUUUUGUCCGGAAAGAAAUCGCACUUACUAAUAUUAGGUGUGGAUGACGGUACCGGAAGAAUAAGGACCGGCUAACUACGUGCCAGCAGCCGCGGUAAUACGUAGGGUCCAAGCGUUAAUCGGAAUUACUGGGCGUAAAGCGUGCGCAGGCGGUUGUGCAAGACCGAUGUGAAAUCCCCGGGCUUAACC